ensembl:lncRNA
UGCAAGGUGGGAUGGGUGACGGCAAGCCCAGCCUGACAGGGAGACAGAUGCUUCCUUUAUUUGUCUACCUGGCUACUCACUCAUUCGACAGACUCGGAACACCCCUCUGGUCUGGCUGCACGCCAGGCAGGGGAAACACCAAGGCCAGCUGGGCAGAUCCGCCCAUAAACAGCACUGAGUCCCUGCAGAACGACAGACUCUAGGAAAAGAGGGACUGAGAUGCCACGUGACAAGUAUUGGAACAAAAACAUCAGAGCAUGCAAUAGGGUCACAGAAAGGGUGCAAGACUGUCCCGCCUGGGGAGGCCCGGGGGGGCUUCCAGGAGGUGGUGCCCUGGCAGCCAGGUCCUGAAGGACAGGAAGGAGCAUCAGAGCCAAUUCUGCCACCUUCCCAGUCUGGCUCCAGGUCAGUGGGCCCAGCUGUCGCUUGGUGCAGAGACCCCUGCUGGGCCUUGAGGGGGCCAGCCCCCUUCCUAGCGCAUCAGCCAGGGGGUCAGUCCCCCUCCUCCCAUCAGCCAAGCGCUCAGAGUCAGGCUCAUCAACAAGGACGCGGCAGCUGGGGUUCCCCAUCACUAGGCCACAGGAAGUGGGGGGUUAAGUGCUGAAUGAGGGAGAAGUAGGUAGAAAUGAAACAAGAGACAGAGGAGAGUCAGAGAGAAGCAGAGACAGACAGUCAGACAGAGGCAGACAGACAGACUGGCCCUGACGCCCAGCGGGGGCGGCUGAGCCGCAGACAGCCCAGAGCUGGGGACUUUUCCAAAAGCACUUAAGCUAUCAUGUCAGCUAUUACGCCCUUGGUCUCCUCCAGGGAAGACAGCGCUGAGAUGUGUGGAAGGAAAUGGAUGUGCAAGACACACGCACUUUUCCCAAACGGGCCCGACGCCAGCGACAGGCCUGGAUGUCAUUCUGCCUUUAACUCAAGCCAGCCAGAGGAGAGGGGAGUGAAGAAGAGGAUGGGAACAAAGGCAGAGGAGCCUACAGUUACGGAACUCAGAUGCUUACAAGGCUGUGUCAACCAGUCCACACCACAGCCUUCCAAGAUAGGAGCUCCAUGCUCGUUUAAUAAACAGAGCAAGGAGGAGCCUCGGGGAAGGAGGGGGCCGGGCCCAGAAUCAUGCAGCUGUGGGUAAGCAGGGGCCCCGCUGGAAAUUCCAGCCUCUUCACGCACAUCUCCCUCCCCUCACACUGAGUGGGAGGAUACAGCCUCCCCCCACACCUCGCAUCCUCUGGGGACGCCAGCAGAGAACCACCAUCUCCCAUGGGCAGGGGCAGCCUCGGGGGACAGACAGCAGUCUAACAGAAAAGGGAGGAAGGAGGGGGCGGGCACGCCCUCCGGACCCCCUGGGUGCCACGUAAGGCCCAUCCCUCACCCCCUCCAAAGGAACAACCACUCCCUUCCAGCUAAAGCAGGCGUGUGUGUGCAUGCCUCCGGACAGUACGCAAGCGCGCAAGUCACGACCCCAUGGACCGGAGCCCGCCAGGCUCCUCUGUCCAUAGGAUUCUCCAGGCAAGAAUACUGGAGGGGGUUGCCGUGCCCUCCUCCACGGGAUCUUCCCAACCCAGGGAUCGUACCUACAUCUCUUCCGCCUCCUGCAUUGGCAGGCGGGUUCUUGGUCACUAGCGCCACCUUGGAAGCCUUCAGAAAGGUAUGCUGAGUCUCAAACAUCAACCCAUACUACAGCUGGGAAACAGAGGCCCUGAGCAGCUCUCCCUGGGGUCACAGCAGCUUAGCGGCAACGAGAGGACCAGAAGCUGGGUUAACUCACCCUCACCCUUUUUACUGGAAAGACACUCGGUGAUCUGCCUGGGAAAGAAAAUAUCAGCUCACCCGGUGGCUGCCUCUUUCACCUCUCUGGGUACCUAGGAAUCUGUACUAGGGAAGAGUUCCAGGGCUGACUAGACUCACAGGAAGGGCGGAAAGCUUCUGCAGCCAGAGCGGGCCUCUCCGAGGGCUGGGGACCAUGCCAAGCAGGCUGAGAUCCCAGCCUGGUGGGCCCCCUGCUGCCUCCUCCCAGGAUGAGAGCCGUCUACCCGGGGGGACCCAGACAGGGACCCACCCUCAAAGGCAAUGACCUUGAUCCCGCUCAGAACCCUCCUAGGCUCAGGAUACGGACUCGGGUUCUAACAACCCCGAGGGCUUUUGUGAGAGGUUCCGGGGAGAGUUCCUGGACCAGGAAUCCAGGUCUGAAAUAACAACUUUGCUUCACUGGGC